rnacentral:rRNA from 1 species
UACGGAGGGUGCAAGCGUUAUCCGGAUUCACUGGGUUUAAAGGGUGCGUAGGAGGGCAGGUAAGUCAGUGGUGAAAUCUCCAAGCUUAACUUGGAACUGCCGUUGAUACUAUCUGUCUUGAAUGUUGUGGAGGUGAGCGGAAUAUGUCAUGUAGCGGUGAAAUGCUUAGAUAUGACAUAGAACACCAAUUGCGAAGGCAGCUCACUAACACAAUUAUUGACUCUGAGGCACGAAAGCGUGGGGAUCAAACAGGA